rnacentral:rRNA from 1 species
UACGGAGGGGACUAGCGUUGUUCGGAAUUACUGGGCGUAAAGCGCACGUAGGCGGAUUUGUAAGUCAGGGGUGAAAUCCCGGGGCUCAACCUCGGAACUGCCUUUGAUACUGCAAAUCUCGAGUCCGGAAGAGGUGAGUGGGAAUUCCUAGUGUAGAGGUGAAAUUCGUAGAUAUUAGGAAGAACACCAGUGGCGAAGGCGGCUCACUGGUCCGGUACUGACGCUGAGGUGCGAAAGCGUGGGGAGCAAACAGG